rnacentral:rRNA from 1 species
UGGGGAAUUUUGGACAAUGGGGGCAACCCUGAUCCAGCCAUGCCGCGUGAGUGAAGAAGGCCUUCGGGUUGUAAAGCUCUUUCGGCGGGGACGAAACGGUCCGUGACAACACCACGGACUAAUGACAGUACUCGCAGAAGAAGCACCGGCUAACUACGUGCCAGCAGCCGCGGUAAUACGUAGGGUGCAGGCGUUAAUCGGAAUUACUGGGCGUAAAGCGUGCGCAGGUGGCUCCUUAAGUCAGAUGUGAAAUCCCCGGGCUUAACCUGGGAACUGCGUUUGAAACUGAGGAGCUAGAGUGUGGAAGAGGGGGGUGGAAUUCCAGGUGUAGCAGUGAAAUGCGUAGAGAUCUGGAAGAACACCAGUGGCGAAGGCGGCCAACUGGCUCGAUACUGACGCUGAGGUGCGAAAGCGUGGGGAGCAAACAGGAUUAGAUACCCAAGUAGUCCCUGAGCGGGCUGGCAAGGCGCAU